UUUUACAAGCGUUAUUUGAGUCUACACACACGGUUCCUUCAGUCGUCUGUAAAGUCUCAUUCCGCUUGUUUCUCUAACUCAUCCCUCAUUGUAUUUCUGUCUGUUCCUCUACUCUCUGUCUCUGUUAUGUGGUGAUGAGAAAUGGCAGCAGCACCAACUUGUACAGGGAUCACCAGCAUGCACCUCUCACUGGCUGGAACCCUGUUGCUGAGUGGCCCCUAAAGUCCAAGAAAUGGCUUCAACCUGGUAGUGGGGCCCCUGGUUUGCCUAACUCAGCACUUUGGGGGAAAGACCCUUCUUUACACUUCGUGUUUGGCAUGAUGCUCUCAAGGAUACAUUAGGGGAAGUUGCUUUGCUGUUGGCACCAAUCCCACGUUGCCAGGUGGCUGAACAACAACUACUUUAUCCCCCUCAUCCUAAACUUUGCUAACUCUUGUUCAACUGCUCUAUGAUUAAAUUGGUUUAAUUAAAUGUUUACAUUCGCUUCAA